UGAGCUUUUGAGGUCACUUCCAAACUGGGCUGUUCUGUGAUUCUGUGAAAUUUGUAGACACCAGCACCAGCUCUGCCUGCAGUGAGGAAGCAUGUGUGCAUGGUCAUUGACUUCAAAACUAGCAUUUUUCUACUUUCUUUUAGGUAGAAGGUAACAGCAAACUUCCCUCCAGUUAAAUCAGAGUAAAAUGGGUCUGGAGAGAACUCAGAUACAGGGCUGAAAACAAAGACAUCCAAACCUUGAGCCAUUUAGAAGAGGAAGAAGCCAAAAUCUCUGCCAGAGGUUUGACUGCUGGGUUUACUCAUGGCUUCAGGUCUGUCUCCUGGAGCCGGGUGAUUACAAGGAAUUAAUGCCUUUGUUCUUUUCUUCUGUCUAAAAAAGCAAACCUCCAGCCAACUACUCAUAGGGAAAUAGGGACUGAGGCGCAUUGAAAUCAUCCCUAAGUAGUCUAUUUGAGCGUGGAACUUUUGGACAAAACUCACGACUUCGGGGCACCGUUUAUUGAUUUGAAUACUGAGGACUGUCAGUUCUGGGUCUGGCACAUCCACAGCAGGGGACAGAGCUAUAAAAUCAUAAACUGGCUAUGAAGCUCAGCAAAGGGGCUGAAGACUGGGCUGUGAGGAUGACUUUCUAAGCACUGAGAGCAGCUUCUCUGGAUGGGAUGAAAGCCUGUCAGGGAGUGGUGUAAAUGAGAAGCUUGACCUGAAGAUCUGAGGCUUCAAGCUGUCACAUUUUAGCAGCCCAGAUGCUGGGACGUCAGGACUUACCAGUGCACCCAAGAACAGAUUCAGUGUGUAGCUGAGCAUCAGUGAUUCUUGCAUUAGUCUUCAGUGGAAAAGAUCCAUGCAAAUGCAACAAAGCAGGGUGGCUUCAAGAGGGAGAAUCUCCUUGUAAAUGAAGCCUGUUGGUUCAGGGCUCAGACCUGCCCAUUGUAGCAUGG
rnacentral:lncRNA from 1 species